CUACAGAAGAAAUGUAUACACGUGCUGCACUGCAGUAGCCGGUGACCGGAAGUAACGUAACACCCAGGAAGCGGCGUGUGAGAAGACCGAUGCGAAUGUUACCCGCUGCCGCCGGCACCACACCAAGGCGGCCAGGGCAGCUACUCUAUUGAAUAUUGAGGUUUUUGGGUACCAGAAGGAAAAUGGUUUGCUUCAUCCAUUAGCAAAUUUGCAAGAGGAAGCAAAUGUCUUGAAACACGGAGAACAGCUGUGUGGGUGACAUUAAAAGCAAGCAUCAGGAUCCAGUGCUGCAGACUAUUUUGUCUCCGAAGCUGCCAGACUCGAUGUUUAUUGACUUCGGUGCACAGGUCAGAUACUCUAUUGAAUGUUGAGGUGUUUGGGUACCUGAAAGAAAGUGGUUUGCUUCAUCCAUUAGCAAAAUUGCAAGAGGAAGCCAAUGUCUUGAAACAUGGAAUACAGCUGUGUGGGUGACAUUAAAAGCAAGCAUCAGAAUCCAGUGCUGCAGACUAUUGUCGCCGAAGCUGCCGUACUCUGUUUAUUGACUUCGGUGCACAGGUCAGAUACUCUAUUGAAUGUUGAGGUGUUUGGGUACCUGAAAGAAAGUGGUUUGCUUCAUCCAUUAGCAAAAUUGCAAGAGGAAGCCAAUGUCUUGAAACACGGAGGACAGCUGUGUGGGUGACAUUAAAAGCGAGCAUCAGAAUCCAGUGCUGCAGACUAUUGUCGCCGAAGCUGCCGGACUCUGUUUAUUGACUUCGGUGCACAGGUCAGAUACUCUAUUGAAUGUUGAGGUGUUUGGGUACCUGAAAGAAAGUGGUUUGCUUCAUCCAUUAGCAAAAUUGCAAGAGGAAGCCAAUGUCUUGAAACACGGAGGACAGCUGUGUGGGUGACAUUAAAAGCGAGCAUCAGAAUCCAGUGCUGCAGACUAUUGUCGCCGAAGCUGCCGGACUCUGUUUAUUGACUUCGGUGC